rnacentral:rRNA from 1 species
GGGAAUUUUGCGCAAUGGGGAAACCCUGACGCAGCAACGCCGCGUGGAGGAUGAAGUCUCUUGGGACGUAAACUCCUUUCGACCGGGACGAUAAUGACGGUACCGGAAGAAGAAGCCCCGGCUAACUUCGUGCCAGCAGCCGCGGUAAUACGAGGGGGCAAGCGUUGUUCGGAAUUAUUGGGCGUAAAGGGUGCGUAGGCGGCCCCGCAAGUCUUGUGUGAAAUCUUCGAGCUCAACUCGAAGCCUGCAUAGGAAACUGCUGGGCUGGAGUAUGGGAGAGGUGAGUGGAAUUCCUGGUGUAGCGGUGAAAUGCGUAGAUAUCAGGAGGAACACCUGUGGCGAAAGCGGCUCACUGGACCAUAACUGACGCUGAUGCACGAAAGCUAGGGGAGCAAACA